rnacentral:ncRNA from 1 species
AUUUGAUAAAGGUAAACCCUGAGUGAUCAGGGGGCGCAAAGUAAUAGGGUCUUUACAAGCCGUUUAAACUUUUUGAACCGCUUAAACGGCUUAUGGGAAAAGACAGCCUUACUGCCGAA